rnacentral:rRNA from 1 species
UAUGUGAUCGUCUCUCGCAUAUCAAUAAGCGGAGGAAAAGAAACUAACAAGGAUUCCCCUAGUAACGGCGAGUGAAGCGGGAAGAGCUCAAAUUUGAAAUCUUAAAGGGUUUCCCUUUACGAAUUGUAGUUUAAAGAAGUGUUUUCUGUUGAGGUUUUGGUAAAAGUUCUUUGGAAUAGGACAUCAUAGAGGGUGAGAAUCCCGUAUUUGACCUUUACUUUCAACUUUGUGAUACACUUUCAAAGAGUCGGAUUGUUUGGGAAUGCAGUCCGAAAUGGGUGGUAAAUUUCAUCUAAAGCUAAAUAUUGGCGAGAGACCGAUAGCGAACAAGUACCGUGAGGGAAAGAUGAAAAGAACUUUGAAAAGAGAGUUAAACAGUACGUGAAAUUGUCAAAAGGGAAGCGUUUGACACCAGUGUUGUUUUUCUGAAAAUCAAUUGAAGAACUGUUUAUGCUAAGCUGUUUAGACUUUAUCAGCUAUCUGUUUAGUUUUGAGCUUUUCUUUAAUGCACUUUUCAGUUAACAAGUCAACAUCAAUUUCUUUUGCUGUAAAAAAGCUUGAGGAAGGUGGCUUGAGAUUCGUCUUAAGUGUUUAUAGCCUCUUGCCUAUGCAGUCGGAGAGAUUGAGGUCUGCAGCGUAGAUCCUUCGGGGCUAAAUGCAUUUGUGCUAAGUUAUAGCAUUUUAUAGACAACUUGUUGACUAUGAUUUGUCUUGUAGCUUACUCGCUUAUGUUAUUUUACCUACGCUUAGGAUGUUGACUGAUAUGUAGUCGUA